GGAGGGGGUGUAGCUCAGUGGUAGAGCACAUGCUUAGCAUACAUGAGGCCAUGGGUUCAACUCCCAGCCCCUCCA